rnacentral:rRNA from 1 species
UACAGAGGGUGCGAGCGUUAAUCGGAAUUACUGGGCGUAAAGCGUGCGCAGGCGGUUUUGUAAGCCAGAUGUGAAAUCCCCGGGCUUAACCUGGGAAUGGCAUUUGGGACUGCAAGGCUUGAGUGCGGCAGAGGAGACUGGAAUUCCUGGUGUAGCAGUGAAAUGCGUAGAUAUCGGAAGGAACGUCGGUGGCGAAAGCGUCGCGCUGGACCUCUUCUGACGCUGAGGCGGCGAAAGCCAGGGGAGCAAACGGG